UACAGAGGGGGCAAGCGUUGUCCGGAUUUAUUGGGCGUAAAGAGCGUGUAGGCGGCCAGACAGGUCCGUUGUGAAAACUAGAGGCUUAACCUCUAGACGUCGAUGGAAACCGUUUGGCUAGAGUCCGGAAGAGGAGAAUGGAAUUCCUGGUGUAGCGGUGAAAUUCGUAGAUAUUCGGAAGAACACCAGUGGCGAAGGCGACUUACUGGACACAUAUUGACGCUGAGGUGCGAAAGCGUGGGGAGCAAACAGG
rnacentral:rRNA from 1 species